ACUUAGAUCUUAGUCCUAUAUAUAUUAUUCUAUAGGGUGACCCCAAAGAAUCUAGGGGAUAUAACUUCUACCAUGCUAAAUAAUAAGAGUUAUUCGAUAUUUUUUUCAGAAAAAAAGUACCUUGAUGAAGGUACUGAUGCCUUUAAUAUGGAACUUAUGAAGUUCGAUAGGUAGAAGAACCGACACGAUCUAGUGAACCCAUAGAAUCAGAUUUGAUUAGAUCAAACUUAAAACCCAUUGUAAAAGCACCA
rnacentral:lncRNA from 1 species